rnacentral:rRNA from 1 species
CCUACGGGUGGCUGCAGUGGGGAAUUUUGGACAAUGGGGGCAACCCUGAUCCAGCCAUUCCGCGUGAGUGAAGAAGGCCUUCGGGUUGUAAAGCUCUUUUGUCGGGGACGAAACGGUUUUGGCUAAUACCUAAGACUACUGACGGUACCCGAAGAAUAAGCACCGGCUAACUACGUGCCAGCAGCCGCGGUAAUACGUAGGGUGCAAGCGUUAAUCGGAAUUACUGGGCGUAAAUUUAGCGCACACGGUUGAAAGCCCCGGGCGCAACCUGGGAAUGGCAAUUGGGACUGUAAGGCUGGAGUAUGGCAGAGGAGACUAGAAUUCCUGGUGUAGCAGUGAAAUGCGUAGAUAUCAGGAGGAAUACCGAUGGCGAAGGCAGGUCUCUGGGCCAAUACUGACGCUCAUGCACGAAAGCGUGGGGAGCAAACAGGAUUAGAUACCCCUGUAGUC